rnacentral:rRNA from 1 species
UAAGACGAACCGUGCAAACGUUGUUCGGAAUCACUGGGCUUAAAGGGCGCGUAGGCGGGUUUCCAAGUCUGUGGUGAAAUCCUCCAGCUUAACUGGAGAAGUGCCGUGGAUACUGGAAGUCUCGAGGAGGGUAGGGGCAUCUGGAACUGCCGGUGGAGCGGUGAAAUGCGUUGAUAUCGGCAGGAACUCCGAUGGCGAAGGCAAGGUGCUGGACCCUUUCUGACGCUGAGGCGCGAAAGCCAGGGGAGCAAACGGGAUUAGAUACCCCGGUAGUCCUGGCCCUAAACGAUGAGAACUAGGUAGUGGACUUACAUGGGUUCACUGUCGAAGCAAAAGUGCUAAGUUCUCCGCCUGGGGAGUAUGGUCGCAAGGCUG